UGAUAGGCAACGACACGGCCGGUUUUUGGGUC
rnacentral:scRNA from 1 species